rnacentral:rRNA from 1 species
UUUUAUGAGAGUUUGAUCCUGGCUCAGGACGAACGCUGGCGGCGUGCCUAAUACAUGCAAGUCGAACGCUUCUUUUUCCACCGGAGCUUGCUCCACCGGAAAAAGAGGAGUGGCGAACGGGUGAGUAACACGUGGGUAACCUGCCCAUCAGAAGGGGAUAACACUUGGAAACAGGUGCUAAUACCGUAUAACAAUCGAAACCGCAUGGUUUUGAUUUGAAAGGCGCUUUCGGGUGUCGCUGAUGGAUGGACCCGCGGUGCAUUAGCUAGUUGGUGAGGUAACGGCUCACCAAGGCCACGAUGCAUAGCCGACCUGAGAGGGUGAUCGGCCACAUUGGGACUGAGACACGGCCCAAACUCCUACGGGAGGCAGCAGUAGGGAAUCUUCGGCAAUGGACGAAAGUCUGACCGAGCAACGCCGCGUGAGUGAAGAAGGUUUUCGGAUCGUAAAACUCUGUUGUUAGAGAAGAACAAGGAUGAGAGUAACUGUUCAUCCCUUGACGGUAUCUAACCAGAAAGCCACGGCUAACUACGUGCCAGCAGCCGCGGUAAUACGUAGGUGGCAAGCGUUGUCCGGAUUUAUUGGGCGUAAAGCGAGCGCAGGCGGUUUCUUAAGUCUGAUGUGAAAGCCCCCGGCUCAACCGGGGAGGGUCAUUGGAAACUGGGAGACUUGAGUGCAGAAGAGGAGAGUGGAAUUCCAUGUGUAGCGGUGAAAUGCGUAGAUAUAUGGAGGAACACCAGUGGCGAAGGCGGCUCUCUGGUCUGUAACUGACGCUGAGGCUCGAAAGCGUGGGGAGCAAACAGGAUUAGAUACCCUGGUAGUCCACGCCGUAAACGAUGAGUGCUAAGUGUUGGAGGGUUUCCGCCCUUCAGUGCUGCAGCUAACGCAUUAAGCACUCCGCCUGGGGAGUACGACCGCAAGGUUGAAACUCAAAGGAAUUGACGGGGGCCCGCACAAGCGGUGGAGCAUGUGGUUUAAUUCGAAGCAACGCGAAGAACCUUACCAGGUCUUGACAUCCUUUGACCACUCUAGAGAUAGAGCUUCCCCUUCGGGGGCAAAGUGACAGGUGGUGCAUGGUUGUCGUCAGCUCGUGUCGUGAGAU